rnacentral:rRNA from 1 species
CUUGUCUCAGUUCGGAUUGUAGGCUGAAACUCGCCUACAUGAAGCUGGAGUUGCUAGUAAUCGCGAAUCAGCAUGUCGCGGUGAAUACGUUCCCGGGCCUUGUACACACCGCCCGUCACACCAUGAGAGUUGGGCAAUACCCAACGUACGUGAUCUAACCCGCAAGGGAGGAAGCGUCCUAAGGUAGGGUCAGCGAUUGGGGUGAAGUCGUAACAAGGUACC